GGUUCCUGAAGACAAUCCAAAUAAUGCAAAUCAAGGAAUUGUUGGUCUGGAUAUGACCUUGGUGAAUAUUUGGAAUGGUAGUGGUCAUGAGGUGUUUUCUUUAAUGAGAUAUGUGCCAACACCAAUGAUACUUUGGCCGUUGCAACAACUACAUCUACCACCACCUCCACCACCCUCCCCCACAACCAGCACUGGCAAUGGUCGCUUGAGUUCAGCUGAAAUGAAACAGUUGUCGCUAAGGAUAGCUUUGAGUUGAGUUGGACUUUGGCAUAAUAUUGUAGCACAGUUAGCUAUCUCAGUUGACAAGCAAUAGUAGCACUGGAUUUUUCUUUCAUUUUAGUUUUAGUUGUUUCAGUUCACAUUUGCAUUUGGUUGAUUCUCAUUCUGUUAGUACUCUAAACAAAUGGGAAGAAAACUUACUGACAUUGAGACAAUGGGAAAUAUCCUUUGAUGAUCA